GCGGAAGGGAGGUUUGCAUAUUCAAAUAGCUGAGGAAAAGAAACCAACAGGGAUUGCCUCAGUAACGGCGAGUGAAGCGGCAAAAGCUCAAAUUUGAAAUCCCCCCGGGGAGUUGUAAUUUGAAGAUUGCGUCUUGGAGGCGACCGUGUCUAUGUUCCUUGGAACAGGACGUCACAGAGGGUGAGAAUCCCGUGCGGCACGGCCCCCGGCUCCUUAUAAGGCGCUCUCGACGAGUCGAGUUGUUUGGGAAUGCAGCUCAAAGUGGGUGGUAAAUUCCAUCUAAAGCUAAAUACAGGCGAGAGACCGAUAGCGAACAAGUACAGUGAUGGAAAGAUGAAAAGCACUUUGAAAAGAGAGUGAAACAGCACGUGAAAUUGUUGAAAGGGAAGGGCAUGCCGUCAGAUUGUCAGUGUGGGUAAGAAGCGGGGUACAAAGACUGUGGAACGUGGCCCUCGGGUGUUAUAGCCGCAGUUCAUGCCCCGUCUCUUUCCGAGGCCUGCUUUGAGGACACCGACGUAAUGACGGUACGCCGCCCGUCUUAAAAACCGGAACCAAA
rnacentral:rRNA from 1 species